UAGAGUUUGAUCAUGGCUCAGGACGAACGCUGGCGGCGUGCUUAACACAUGCAAGUCGAACGCUGAAGCCCCUUUCGGGGGGUGGAUGAGUGGCGGACGGGUGAGUAACACGUGGGCAAUCUGCCUCGUACUUCGGGAUAAGCCUCGGAAACGGGGUCUAAUACCGGAUAGGACAUCGUGUCGCAUGGCGCGGUGUGGAAAGUUGCGGCGGUACGGGAUGAGCCCGCGGCCUAUCAGCUGGAUGGUGGGGUCACGGCCCACCAUGGCGACGACGGGUAGCCGGCCUGAGAGGGUGACCGGCCACACUGGGACUGAGACACGGCCCAGACUCCUACGGGAGGCUGCAGUGAGGAAUCUUGCGCAAUGGGCGAAAGCCUGACGCAGCAACGCCGCGUGAGGGAGGACGGCCUUCGGGUUGUAAACCUCUUUCGGCUCCGACGAAGGUGACGGUAGGGGCAGAAGAAGCGCCGGCUAACUACGUGCCAGCAGCCGCGGUAAUACGUAGGGCGCAAGCGUUGUCCGGAUUUACUGGGCGUAAAGAGCUCGUAGGCGGUUUGUCGCGUCGGUCGUGAAAGAUCACAGCUCAACUGUGAAGGUGCGGCCGAUACGGGCAGACUCGAGGGCGGUAGAGGCAAGCGGAAUUCCUGGUGUAGCGGUGAAAUGCGCAGAUAUCAGGAGGAACACCGACGGCGAAGGCAGCUUGCUGGGCCGUGCCUGACGCUGAGGAGCGAAAGCGUGGGGAGCGAACAGGAUUAGAUACCCUGGUAGUCCACGCCGUAAACAUUGGGCGCUAGGUGUGGGGACCGUUUCGGUGUCCGUGCCGCAGCUAACGCAUUAAGCGCCCCGCCUGGGGAGUACGGCCGCAAGGCUAAAACUCAAAGGAAUUGACGGGGGCCCGCACAAGCGGCGGAGCAUGUGGAUUAAUUCGAUGCAACGCGAAGAACCUUACCUGGGUUGGACAUGCCCGGAUCGCCGUGGAGACACGGUUUCCCUUUUGGGGCCGGUGCACAG
rnacentral:rRNA from 1 species